rnacentral:lncRNA from 1 species
AUUUCCCUUGUGCUAUCCAGGAAGGGCUAAUGAUUGGAAGGAAAACGUCAGCCCUUCUCAAGCAGCAAAAUAACAGCACCUUCUGUUUCCCCUGAAUCCACAUGAGUGUGGUGCUGUGAAAGAGGUCGCUGGCUGGUGUUGAGGGUGCCUCCGUGCCAGGGAGCACUCAAAGCUACAGACAUUCACCUGCGAAUGGUCAUGGACCUGACCGGCUGUUUUCUCUGCAUUUCUCCCCUGGCUAAAGAUGUGUUGCUGGGUAAAGUGAUUCUCAGACUUGACCUCCUGCUGCCCUGCUCCCACCCUGGAAUGGAGCAGGUGCCAGGUGGACAUGGCUGCAGGUGCUGUGGGAGGUGAGUCGUGCAGCCACAGGGGAAAACGUUUCAGGAUCCAGUGUCCGUCCUUCAAAGUUGCUUCUAACAAGGAAACCGCUGCCUAAUCACCGGCACCUGUCAAAUUGGAAUCUCAGUCACAGCCAUCAGCCUGUAAGCUGGAUCUGGGAGGCUUUGUUUCUGGAGACUUCUGCUUUCUUUGGAAGGCAGGCUCAAACCUGAUCCUCUAUACAACGGUCCCGAGUUAAAUCUGGCCAGUCUGAAAAGCCAGCCAUGCUGGCGAGUGCAUGAAAAUCCUGCUUCAAAGGCAGAGAGCCGGGCUCCACGCGACAUUCCGCACCUUCCUCAGGGUGGCUUCUCCUUCUCCCUGGCCUCGUACCCUAGAAC